UCCUGGUGGCUCAGAUGGUAAAGUGUCUGCCUGCAAUGCGGGAGACCUGGGUUCGAUUCCUGGGUCGGGAA
rnacentral:tRNA from 1 species